rnacentral:rRNA from 1 species
GGGAAACAGAUGCUAAUACCCGGAUAACAACAGAUGAUGCCUAUCAACUGUUUAAAGAUGGUUCUGCUAUCACUCUUGGGAUGGACCUGCGGUGCAUUAGCUAGUUGGUAGGGGUAACGGGCCUACCCAAGGCGAUGAUGCAUAGCCCGAGUUGAGAGACUGAUCGGGCCACAUUGGGACUGAGACACGGCCAAAACUCCUACGGGAGGCAGCAGUAGGGAAUCUUCCACAAUGGACGCAAGUCUGAUGGAGCAACGCCGCGUGAGUGAAGGUAAGGGUUUCGGCUACGUAAAAGCUCUGUUGUUGGUGAAGAAGGACGAGGGGUAGUAACUGACCUUUGUUUGACGGUAAUCAAUUAGAAAGUCACGGCUAACUACGUGCCAGCAGCCGCGGUAAU